UGAUCUGCCCGCCUCAGCCUCCCAAAGUGCUGGGAUUACAGGCGUGAGCCACGGCACCCAGCCACAAUGGGCACAUUUAGUCAUGCAGUAUAAGUGAAGAAUGGAGGUCACUCAGAAGACACAGUUUUUCAUUACCUACAAAGUUCUACAUCAAUCCGCCCUGGUUCCCCUACCUCUCGCCGCCCCCCUACUCAAGCCAUGUGGCCUCCCUGCUGUUCUUUGACAGCCUUGUUAUGGGGCUGAGUUGUGUUCCCCCAACAGACAUGUUGACAUCCUAGCCCCCAGGUACCUGUAAACAUGAACUUAUUUGGAAACAGGGUCUUUGCAGACGCAGUCAGGUUAAGAUGAGGUUAUUAGAGUAGGCCUUUAAUCCAAAAUGACUGGCGUCCUUCCAAGAGGAGAAGACAGGCUGUGACUGUGGAGGCAGAGGAUGGAGUGCUGCAUCUACAAGCUGAGGAACGCCAAGGAUUGUUGCCACCGCCAUGAGCUAAAAAAGGCAAGGAAGGAUUCUCCCUUACAGGUUUCAGAGGGAGCACAGCCCUGCUGACACCCUGAUUUUGCAUUUCUAGCCUUCAAAACUGGACGACAACACAUUUGCCUGCCUGGUUUGUGGUAUUUUGUUCCAGCAGCCCUAGGAAAUGAAUACAAGCCUCAAAUGUGUUCCAGCGCUUGCUGGCCUCUCUGCUUGCAAGCCCUUCCCCGGACAACGCCCUCACUCCCUUCAGGUCACUGCUGAAAUGCCACCUUUGCAGAGAGGCUGGUCCUGACUGCACUACUGACCUGGGCAGUUGCGGCCUCUCUCCCUUCCUCCACCUCCUUUAGCUUUCUUCUGGUCCCUAGCCAUACCUGACAAUAUGUUGUAUGUCUUUCAUCUUUGUUGUAAAACGAUUGUCUGCCUUGCCUUCUAGAAGGUACGUUCCGUGAAAUUAGGGACUGUCCGGUUCAUUGCUGCACACCCAGUGCCUGCCAUGUGCCUGACAUAGACUGGAGUCUCCCAUACGCUUGUUUCAUAAGCGAAUGAGCUGUUUGAGAAUGUUGUUUGUUUUCCUUUUCACUCUUUUAUCCUCUACAUGACCUAAUGUUUUGCUCAUGGUAGAUGGUCAGGAAAUAUGGGCAGAUGGAUUAAUAAACCCGUCACCACCAUUGGGCUGAAGGCUCUGCGUGGUGAAGAGGGGCAAGUCAAAACGCAUGGCAUGUUGGCCUGGAUUUGGUGGCCUCUUUGUUGUAAAAUGAUUCUAGGGACAAUUGAUCAGAUUUCUCUGAGUAAUCAUUAUAGCUUACCAUUUGUUACAUGCAGCCACUGUUUCUCUUGCCCUGAAUGCCUCCUGAUUCCUCCCUUCCCCAGUUAUUUUUCUGAUUAAGGAAUCAGAGUUGAAUAAUCUAAAUUUAGUUUGUGUAGCUCAGAGGUGCCAAUCAUGGCAAAUAAUGAAUGAAGAGAUUUCCCACCCCUUUCCCUGAAGCACUGAGCUGAAACCAACAAAUUCAUUUUAUUUAGGAUCACAGGCUGCACUCAGAGUGGUGUCUGUGACAGGUGAGUGCUUUAUUCACUAAUGAACUCACCAGGCCCCAGACAAACCCUCUCCCUCCUGGUUGGGGUGCUCCUUAUCUCCGUUAGCCCACACACUGUGCCUUUUUAGCCUUCUGUUUGCUAAUGGAAUUGGUGUGUCAUUUUGUUAAAAAUAUGUUAAGUCAGAAAAAAUUCAUAUUAUGUAUAUCAUAUGGUUCCGCAAAUUUCUUUAGCCUUUCAAGGGCUUUUCUGGUAAGCCUGUAUUUAGAGUUCACAAUUUCUGGAUUAAGGACUGUGUUUUCUACCAGUUUUGAAAAGGACCAACAUAAAGCACAUUUUAUCUGCUUUCACUGCAUAAGAACAUAAAAAUUUACUCAUUGGAAAGCUGUUAUAUUCAAUGUUUGUAAGAAAUAAGCCAUAGAUUAGGAAUAACAAUUGUUAUGGUACUCUCUGUUGGGGAAAAAGAAUGAAGUUCUGUUUUCAGUUAUAACCCAUGAGUUCUUAAUAUGUGCACCAGGAGGUUUUAUACAUGAGGAAUUUUGAAUGAGUUUUUAAAAGUCAGUAAAGCACCUGUAAUCCCAGCUACUCGGGAGACUGAGGCAGGAGAAUCACUUGAACCCAGUAGGCGGAGGUUGCAGUGAGCCGAGAUCGUGCCAUUGCACUCCAGCCUGGGCAACAGGGUGAGACUCCCUCUAAAAAAAAAAAAAACAAAAAAAAUUAAUUAAUUAAUGAAAAAAUAAAAAAUAAAAAAAGAAGUCAG
rnacentral:lncRNA from 1 species